CCUACGGGAGGCAGCAGUGGGGAAUAUUGGGCAAUGGGCGCAAGCCUGACCCAGCAACGCCGCGUGAAGGAAGAAGGCUCUCGGGUUGUAAACUUCUUUUAUCAGGGACGAAGCAAGUGACGGUACCUGAUGAAUAAGCCACGGCUCACGACGUGCCAGCAGCCGCGGUAAUACCUAGGUGGCAAGCGUUAUUCGGAUUUACUGGGUGUAAUGGGCGUGUAGGCGGGAAAGCAAGUCAGAUGUGAAAAGCAUGGGCUCAACCUGUGGCCUGCAUUUGAAACUGUUUUUCGUGAGUACUGGAGAGGCAGGCGGAAGUCCUAGUGUAGCGGUGAAAUGCGUAGAUAUUAGGAGGAACACCAGUGGCGAAGGCGGUCUGCUGGACAGCAACUGACGCUGAGGCGCGAAAGCGUGGGGAGCAAACAGGAUUAGAUACCCCUGUAGUC
rnacentral:rRNA from 1 species